UCCGUAGGGUUCUCUCGUUAAUCGGAAUUACUGGGCGUAAAGCGUGCGCAGGCGGUUUUGUAAGUCAGAUGUGAAAUCCCCGAGCUCAACUUAGGAACUGCGUUUGAAACUACAAGACUAGAGUAGGUCAGAGGGGGGUAGAAUUCCACGUGUAGCAGUGAAAUGCGUAGAGAUGUGGAGGAAUACCAAUGGCGAAGGCAGCCCCCUGGUAUCAUACUGACGCUCAUGCACGAAAGCGUGGGGAGCAAACAGG
rnacentral:rRNA from 1 species